GCGCCUGUAGCUCAAUAGGAUAGAGCAACGGACUUCUAAUCCGUAGGUUGGGGGUUCGAUUCCCUCCAGGCGCGCCA
rnacentral:tRNA from 2 species